UGAACAAGACGCUUCCGAUCGAUCUCUGUCGGAGAUUAUCCAUGAUGUGUUAACCGAAAUAUCAACGAUUAUGCUGGACGCAGUUGUUCGUUUCAAUCCCUCUUUUGCCUGGACUGCCCUUUCGGGUUUUCGAUCCACCGGGAUACCCUUUUUUGCCCAAGUCGCCCUUGUGGGGUUUUCGACUUGCCGGGUGUACAGUUUUU
rnacentral:lncRNA from 1 species